ensembl:Mt_tRNA
AAGAAAGUGGCAGAGUGGUUAUGCAGUUGGCUUGAAACCAGCUAAUGGGGGUUCAAUUCCUUCCUUUCUUG